rnacentral:rRNA from 1 species
AUUGAACGCUGGCGGCAGGCCUAACACAUGCAAGUCGAGCGGAGCGGCGGACGGGUGAGUAAUGCCUAGGAAUCUGCCUGGUAGUGGGGGAUAACGUCCGGAAACGGGCGCUAAUACCGCAUACUAUCAGAUGAGCCUAGGUCGGCUUAGCUAGUUGGGUGGGUAAAGGCCUACCAGGGAGACGAUCCCUAGCUGGGCUGAGAGGAUGACCAGCCACACUGGAACUGAGACACGGUCCAGACUCCGACGGGAGGCAGCAGUGGGGAAUAUUGCACAAUGGGAGCAAGCCUGAUGCAGCCAUGCCGCGUGUAUGAAGAAGGCCUUCGGGUUGUAAAGUACUUUCAGCGGGGAGGCGUUACCCGCAGAAGAAGCACCGGCUAACUCCGUGCCAGCCGCCGCGGUAAUAC